rnacentral:rRNA from 1 species
GACGAACGCUGGCGGCGUGCUUAACACAUGCAAGUCGAGCGGUAAGGCCUUUCGGGGUACACGAGCGGCGAACGGGUGAGUAACACGUGGGUGAUCUGCCCUGCACUUCGGGAUAAGCCUGGGAAACUGGGUCUAAUACCGGAUAUGACCUCCUAUCGCAUGGUGGGUGGUGGAAAGAUUUAUCGGUGCAGGAUGGGCCCGCGGCCUAUCAGCUUGUUGGUGGGGUAAUGGCCUACCAAGGCGACGACGGGUAGCCGACCUGAGAGGGUGACCGGCCACACUGGGACUGCGACACGGCCCAGACUCCUACGGGAGGCAGCAGUGGGGAAUAUUGCACAAUGGGCGCAAGCCUGAUGCAGCGACGCCGCGUGAGGGAUGACGGCCUUCGGGUUGUAAACCUCUUUCAGCAGGGACGAAGCGCAAGUGACGGUACCUGCAGAAGAAGCACCGGCUAACUACGUG